UACGUAGGGUGCGAGCGUUAAUCGGAAUUACUGGGCGUAAAGCGUGCGCAGGCGGUUGUGCAAGACAGGCGUGAAAUCCCCGGGCUUAACCUGGGAAUGGCGCUUGUGACUGCACGACUGGAGUGCGGCAGAGGGGGAUGGAAUUCCGCGUGUAGCGGUGAAAUGCGUAGAUAUGCGGAGGAACACCGAUGGCGAAGGCAGUCCCCUGGGCCUGCACUGACGCUCAUGCACGAAAGCGUGGGGAGCAAACAGG
rnacentral:rRNA from 1 species